UCAAGUAGCUUUUCAGAUCCUACGCAGAGGUGAACAGAUGGCUCUUCUGUGUGCCUGCGUAAGAAAAUCCCUUUCUGCAAAUGGGAUGUCAGGCAGGAAAUUUCAGUAAGAGGCAUAAACCACAACUGUUUUCCAUUUGACUCAAGAUAGCCAUGUAUCAUCAGUGUUCCCAAAUCAGCUUAUUCAUCUUCAGUGUUCUAAGAUUUUUUAAAACAGAAGUUAAAAUAACAACAGCAACAGAACAGACAAAACAAGCAAACAGAAACCAGAAAAAUGAAUGGUUGGUGCUGAAAUGCAACAUUUGCAAGAUGCUGCCCAGCAAAUCUUCCAAGCAGAAGGAAUGGAACAGGAGGCAGCAAAGCAGCCACACAGUGCAGGAUGCUCUUCUUGGCAAUUUCCAAGAGUAAAUAUCUUAUCAUAAUAAAAGUGAAGAAAGAUGUAGUCUCCACAGAGCAAAGAGUCUGCUGAAGAGCUUUCAUGGACAAAAGCCGAUGGGGUCUGGUGGUACAUGCUGGCUCCUGAAGGUCAGAGCAGGCAAGCUGAAGAGCUGAGACUGAUGAUGGGGAAAGCCCAGCCUUCUGUGCUUUAUGAGAGGCUGCAGUGAAAGGUUGGGUGGGCAGAGCUCCCUCCUCUCUUAGACCAUCACUUCCCAGGAGCAGGUAGCACAUAACCUGUCUCUUAUUUCAUGGUGGAGGAAUAUUUCAGAAUGAGGAGGGUGGUGCUGACUUGCCUGACUUAUGCUGGUUUUCUCAGCACUCCUGCAAUGCUUAGGGAAGGGCUUCCUUGCUCCUGACCAUGUCAUUUCAGACAGUGUUUCAGAACUUUGCUGACAGUCUGGGCAAAGCUGGGGGAAGGUGGUGAUGGGGUCAAUGUGGGAGAGGCUGCUUUGGGCGGCAGCCUGUUGUAAUAUCCCUGCAGGAUGGGGUGAGCUGAUUCCCUGUCUGUACUAAAAGAUUGCCACAGUUUUCCGUGAGGAAGGAGAAGGAUGUCUCUCACCAGAAAUCUUUUCGAGCUGUGUGAGACAGAAGCAGCUGUGUGGGGGAAGGCAUCAGACUUGAGGAAGUCCUCACGUUGUUUCUGUCUUCUGAACAUCUUGGUUCUUAUGACCACGCAAGCUGCUGAAAUGAGUUCCCUUCUGAGACUGAAUUUGGAGAGAAUUGACCAGAUGACAGGGUGAUAGGCUAAAAAAUGGUGGUGGGAAAGGACCUCCAGAGGUCAGUGGUUGUCCCUGUCAUGCCCCUCACAUUUCCAUGGACACGCUGAACUGAUAGGUUGUAGAGCAGUAUCUACAGUUGCAAAUGAAGCCUAAUAAUGGCCCCAAAUUAUUUUGAUGUUUCUCUAUCAUCUAUAUAAACACAGUUAUGGUACCUAGACAUCUUUCAAAGCGGUUUAUCAAGGAUCAGGUGAGAAGUCUGUGGAAAAGCAGGGAUUUGAACAAAGUAUCCCAAGCUUCAGCCUGUGUGCAACCAAAGAGCCCUGCAAUGUAGGAACAUUACCAGUACCAGAGCAUGGAAGAGCACGGAACGAGGGCUUUCUUUUUCUCCAGGGAGCUACAUGCCUGGCUUCACUGCCUUCCUGGUUUGCCUGAGUGAGAUCACCCCACAAGGAAGGCAGUGGGAUCUGCCACAGUUGGGCAUUAAUUAGUUUGGCUUAAAGACCUGAGGCACGCAGCCUGGCUGCAGAGGAAAUAAGCUCCCGGAGUGAAGUCAGGGUGGCUUUCCAAGGACAGGGCUGGUCAUCUGGUCUGUCGAUACGGGACCUGCUUCACACUUGUCUUGGCUGCACAAACUGCUUUGCAGCCCAGAAAGCGAUGUCCUGAUGUGGAAAGGUUGUCUGUAUUCCUGUGGUUGUUGUGGUUGCGUUCCUUGAGUUGUCCCCGUGCAUCAAAUUACAUGGAAGGUGUCAGUCUGGGCUAACAUCAGAAAUUAGUUGGACCACGUGAAGUCUGAGACACUGAGCAAAAGGGUGAAUAUAUACUUCCUGUGUCAUACACAAGCCUUUACGGCAAAAAAAAA